rnacentral:rRNA from 1 species
CCUACGGGGGGCAGCAGUAGGGAAUCUUCCACAAUGGACGAAAGUCUGAUGGAGCAACGCCGCGUGAGCGAAGAAGGUUUUCGGAUCGUAAAGCUCUGUUGCUGGAGAAGAACGAGUGCGAGAGGAAAUGCUCGUACUGUGACGGUAUCCAGCCAGAAAGCCACGGCUAACUACGUGCCAGCAGCCGCGGUAAUACGUAGGUGGCAAGCGUUGUCCGGAAUUAUUGGGCGUAAAGCGCGCGCAGGCGGCUUCUUAAGUCUGAUGUGAAAUCUUGCGGCUCAACCGCAAACGGUCAUUGGAAACUGGGAAGCUUGAGUGCAGAAGAGGAGAGUAGAAUUCCACGUGUAGCGGUGAAAUGCGUAGAUAUGUGGAGGAAUACCAGUGGCGAAGGCGGCUCUCUGGUCUGUAACUGACGCUGAGGCGCGAAAGCGUGGGGAGCAAACAGGAUUAGAUACCCUAGUAGUC